rnacentral:rRNA from 2 species
UGUUGCGCUCUAAUCAUGCAAGUCGAGCGAACUGAUUAGAAGCUUGCUUCUAUGACGUUAGCGGCGGACGGGUGAGUAACACGUGGGCAACCUGCCUGUAAGACUGGGAUAACUUCGGGAAACCGAAGCUAAUACCGGAUAGGAUCUUCUCCUUCAUGGGAGAUGAUUGAAAGAUGGUUUCGGCUAUCACUUACAGAUGGGCCCGCGGUGCAUUAGCUAGUUGGUGAGGUAACGGCUCACCAAGGCAACGAUGCAUAGCCGACCUGAGAGGGUGAUCGGCCACACUGGGACUGAGACACGGCCCAGACUCCUACGGGAGGCAGCAGUAGGGAAUCUUCCGCAAUGGACGAAAGUCUGACGGAGCAACGCCGCGUGAGUGAUGAAGGCUUUCGGGUCGUAAAACUCUGUUGUUAGGGAAGAACAAGUACGAGAGUAACUGCUCGUACCUUGACGGUACCUAACCAGAAAGCCACGGCUAACUACGUGCCAGCAGCCGCGGUAAUACGUAGGUGGCAAGCGUUAUCCGGAAUUAUUGGGCGUAAAGCGCGCGCAGGCGGUUUCUUAAGUCUGAUGUGAAAGCCCACGGCUCAACCGUGGAGGGUCAUUGGAAACUGGGGAACUUGAGUGCAGAAGAGAAAAGCGGAAUUCCACGUGUAGCGGUGAAAUGCGUAGAGAUGUGGAGGAACACCAGUGGCGAAGGCGGCUUUUUGGUCUGUAACUGACGCUGAGGCGCGAAAGCGUGGGGAGCAAACAGGAUUAGAUACCCUGGUAGUCCACGCCGUAAACGAUGAGUGCUAAGUGUUAGAGGGUUUCCGCCCUUUAGUGCUGCAGCUAACGCAUUAAGCACUCCGCCUGGGGAGUACGGUCGCAAGACUGAAACUCAAAGGAAUUGACGGGGGCCCGCACAAGCGGUGGAGCAUGUGGUUUAAUUUCGAAGCAACGCGAAGAACCUUACCAGUCUUGACAUCCUCUGACACUCUAGAGAUAGAGCGUUCCCCUUCGGGGGACAGAGUGACAGUG